ACAUUAGCAUUAGCGUCUGCUAAAUAUGGUGUUGGUGUAGCACUUUAGCAUUAGCUUCUGCUAAACAUGGUGUUGGUAUAGCACAUUAGCAUUAGCUUCUGCUAAAUAUGGUGUUGGUAUAGCACAUUAAUGUUUGGCACCAGUUCCUAUAAGGAUAAGCAGCUGAAGACGAUGGAUGGAUUCUCUGGUGCUGACCGUCUGCUUGGACUGGACCAACAGAACCAAACAACCCGGUGGGUCCGAUCCUCACAGGAGCAUCAGGCUCGUUUUCCUCAUAAAUUAGCUGAACGAAGAAAACCUGAGCUUCAUGUUGUGAGCAUGUUGAUCUGCUGUGAAACAUUUCCAGUGGAGUUUAACGUUCAAGUUUUAAAUCUCUGUAAGAAUCAUAACAGCCUCUGUGGCUGAGAGGCAGAAAACGAUGAAUGAGGCCAGGAAACCGCCGUCAUGAAAGAACAGCUCCGAGCUUCCUGCUGCGUAAAUAAAGACGAGCUGAAGUUAUUUUCUAUUCCAGUCAUUUCUGGUCCUGAAUAAACAGGGAGGACCUGCAGACACAUCAGACUCGUGAUUAAUGCAGGUCAGACGAGAAUCCAUCGUCAUUCCUGGACACCAAGCAGCCAGCAGCCUUUUAAGGUCACAAAGUGCUGAAAACCGCCACAGGAUCUGGAUAAAUCUGACUGUUUAUGUUGGGACCACCUCACUUCCUGUUAGGCUGCUGACGAACGGCUCGGCCUUCAUGGGAGCAGGCCGGUCCUGUGGGGUCAGAGGUCACGUCACACAGACUCCUGCUGCGGCGCGGCUCAGUGUAAACAUUAAAGUCCCAAACAGAAACGCUGAAAUAUGAAUGAGACGCAGCAUAAACAAACCAAAGAGAAGCUCCUUCCUCGCCUCAGACGGCAGCAGGACGAGCCGUGGCGUCACGCCAGCCUGACUCGCUCAGCCUGCCAGCCGAGCGUCGGGUUGCUGGUUGAAUUCCUCAGAUAAGAACCAAACCGUCUGGCGUUUUAUCUGACCUUUAUUGAAUGGAUAAGCUCUCAGCAGGCUGAGAUCCAGGAACGCCGCCGCUGCAGACGACCUUCAUGAACAAUAUUUAUUUGAUCAGAACCAGAAGCUCCAUCAGGAAACAAAGAUGGCGGCAGAGAGCCGGAUUAUCAGGAGGUUUUCCUUCUGCCACACGGCGGAGUUAAAACACGGCGUCGGUACAACUGCUGUUUCCAGAACCAUGAUAACUGACCUGCAGCGGGCUGGUGUCUUUUAUUUUGAUAGGUUUUAUUGGCUCUAGUUUCCUUUAUGUGACAGAGGUCAGACGUGUCAAAGGUCACCAGGCCGGGACUCGAACCCGCAACACUUUUCCCUGAUUCUCAGGUAAAAUGUUGCUGAGGUCGAUAAGUCAGGAUUGUUUUCUCUGCUUCACUGGUGCGGUUCUGGGGAACCAGAGAACCACAGAGUGAGUUUGGACCAAACCGGACCAGGAAACGCACCGGGAGAGGAAACCGGGAGCAGAACCGUGUGGUUUCACAGCCGGGUCGGGCCGAACGUCCAGCCGGGUCGGUCCUAAAGAGAGAGGACACAGAGCCGGGCCGGGCCGGUCCGGUCCGGUCCAAACGUCCAGCUGCACUCUGGUCCUGACAGAAAACUGCUUCAAUACAAACAGCCACAAGGUUCUGGUUCCAGGUCCAGUUACAGUGUCGUCUGGUUCCGUUUCCUCUCAGUGGGUUUCAGUUUUCUGAGGAAGCCGGUUCUGAUCCGGGUGGGUUCAUUUUAUCUGAAAAGGAGCAGCAGAGGAAGAGAGACGGUCGAGUUUUCCUCCAUCAGACGGAGCAAAGACUGAUGGAGGAAAACUGCACCUACCUGGGGCCUUCACCUGUCAUCAUCAUCAUCAUCCUCAUCAUCAUCCUCAUCAUCAUCAUCAGCUCUAACUCUCUCCUCUCUGCUUCCUGUUUCCUCCAGGUUACCUCUGUCUACCUGCUCUCUGUUUUCCCAUCUCUUUCCCAUCCUUGACUUCAUCUCUCCUCUUUCUCCUCUCCUUCUCUCUCUCUUCUUCUCUCCCUCGUUAGCGGGUCUCAUCCCUCACUCCUGUCGUUCUACGCAGGAUGACGAAGGAAGCGGCGGACUGGAUUCUUCUGAUCUGCUCAGCUUUUUGAACUUCUGUCGUCUGUUUUCUCUCUUUAACUCUCUUUGUGCAUCAUCUCCCCCCAGAGUGUGUGUUUGUGUGUGAAUGUGUCGCCUCUUCUGUCUCUGAAGAGCUCUGAGUGCUUUAUGUAACACACACACACACACACACACACACACGGUGUGUUAAAGGGACCUGGAGCUGAACCUGAAUCUCACCUGAGCCGCCAAGCGGAGUCAGAACUCUGAAAGUCCUCUGAAGGACUCGGCGUCCUCUCAAACUCGGCGUCCUCACAGAGAGGACGCCGGAUCAAACACGCUUCAUCUUCUUCUACUUCCUGUCUUGUUUCCAGGCUGAAGUCUCCAGAUAAUUUGGUAGAUGAGGGUAAAACUGCUCAAGGACUCCUGAACGUGGCAGUGAAGUCUGUCGGAUCCACGUUUCACCGCCGGAACAAAGGAGCAGAAACUAAAACUUUACUACUGAGAGAUGAGGAUUCUGAGGAUCCAAAGGUUAAAUCUUUACGUUUCUGAUUCUGAAUUAAACGUUUAAUUUGAGGAAGUUUCUCCUGAGCUUUCUGUGUUUCAGGUUUUCUGUUCUGAUGGAUCUGCUGCAGUGAGACUGAAACCAUCGGAUCAUCUCUGAAGUUCUGAUACUUUCACCGACUGAACCAGAACAUUGUUUCGUAGAGACUUUGUUUUAUUUCAUUCUGUCUUGUUUCAGUUUCCUGCCAACAUAAAAAGAUGAUUUUUUUCAUGAUUAGUUUAAAUUAAGUGAAACUGAAGCAGAAUCUGAUGGAUUCAGAGAAAAACUUUUCUUACAGAGGAAAGUUUAAUUUGAUUUCUGAUUAUUGUUUCUGUAGACAAAUGUUCCAGAACCAGAACCAGAACCAGCAGUUCUUCCUGAGGCGAUCCAGCUGUGAUCUUCCUCACCUCAGUGUUUUCAUUUGAACUUUCUGUUUUAACACCAUAAAAAUAAAUCAGGUGUUUCUUUUCAGACUCGGAUGGAUGAACCGUCCCGUCGGUACCGGGACGACGGCGGUCCGAUCCGGCUGCAUCGACGCAGGAUAACGUCUGAGACGGUCCUGACCUGAUCUGACUGCAGAACCGGGUCCAAAGAUCUGCUGUCGGCUCCGUAAUCCUCCAGCCAUGCAGGCCGGCUCAGGCUCCCAGGUUCUGCUGCUCGGUGCUGUCAGCAGAACCUCUGCAAGCCGCUUCCAGCUGCAGGAAGUCAGUCUGGGUUUCUCCUGCAGCAGAGCGAGAGAGAGCAACAGGAAGCUGUGUGGUUUUCUGACUGAGCCGUGUGUUUGAGUGGGACAGCCUGAUGACGAGACGUCCAGGUCGGGACGCCGUCCACUGAAGGACAACAACUCUCACUUUCUGGGAAAUAAACCUGGAGAAGUUCAGCUUUGGGAAGCUGACUCUGCGUUAGUCAGAGUCUGAGAAACAGAUCCUGUUAGAAAGUUUUAAAAAGUAAAAUGAUUUAUGCUGAAACAUUCAUCUGACUCAUGAGUUAUCACAGCAGUUUGAUGAUCUCUGGGAAACUGGGAGGACUGGCUGAAACUGGAACAGAGGAACGUUUGAGUCAGUACAGAACCAGAACUGAAUGGGACAGGAAGCUCUGUGGACCUCAUCUAGUAAUAUUUCUGUUGGCGGAAAUACAGAUGGCCUUGAACUCUC